CGUCCUUAGUUACCUACGCACGUAUGUGGGCGACUCUAGAGGACUGCCGGUGACAAACCGGAGGAAGGUGGGGAUGACGUCAAGUCAUCAUGGCCCUUACGGCCUGGGCUACACACGUGCUACAAUGGUCGGUACAAAGGGUUGCCAAGCCGCGAGGUGGAGCUAAUCCCAUAAAACCGAUCGUAGUCCGGAUCGCAGUCUGCAACUCGACUGCGUGAAGUCGGAAUCGCUAGUAAUCGUGAAUCAGAAUGUCACGGUGAAUACGUUCCCGGGCCUU
rnacentral:rRNA from 1 species